rnacentral:tmRNA from 1 species
GGGGCCGACCUGGUUUCGACGUGGGUAGUGAAGCGUCUCAGUGCAUGCCGAGCACUCUCGUGGUCUCGUUAAUCCCCGAGAAAACUUCAAACGCCAACGACGAGCGUUUCGCUCUCGCCGCUUAAGGCGUGAGCCGCUGCACCGGGUUGCCGAUGGCCCGGGUCCCGCAAGGGACUGCAGCGUCAUACACAUCGGAUCGCGACCGGGCGGGUCACUUGCCUGGAAGCUAAAAAAUAGGUGGCUGGUCUCCUUCUGAGCCUGCCCGGCGGCGCGGUCGGAGACGAGAUCCAAAUGACGUGGCUAAGCAUGUAGAGCGGUUACGUAGAUCACUUGCGGACGCGGGUUCGAUUCCCGCCGGCUCCACCA